rnacentral:rRNA from 1 species
GACGAACGCUGGCGGCGUGCUUAACACAUGCAAGUCGAACGGUAAGGCCCUUCAGGGUACACGAGUGGCGAACGGGUGAGUAACACGUGGGUGAUCUGCCCCGCACUUCGGGAUAAGCCUGGGAAACUGGGUCUAAUACCGGAUAGGACCACUGCCUGCAUGGGUGGUGGUGGAAAGCUUUUGCGGUGUGGGAUGGGCCCGCGGCCUAUCAGCUUGUUGGUGGGGUGAUGGCCUACCAAGGCGACGACGGGUAGCCGGCCUGAGAGGGUGACCGGCCACACUGGGACUGAGAUACGGCCCAGACUCCUACGGGAGGCAGCAGUGGGGAAUAUUGCACAAUGGGCGCAAGCCUGAUGCAGCGACGCCGCGUGAGGGAUGACGGCCUUCGGGUUGUAAACCUCUUUCAGCACCGACGAAGCGCAAGUGACGGUAGGUGCAGAAGAAGGACCGGCCAACUACGUGCCAGCAGCCGCAGUAA